GACGAACGCUGGCGGCGUGCUUAACACAUGCAAGUCGAACGUGAUUUUUGUGGAAAUUCUUUCGGGAAUGGAAAUGAAAUGAAAGUGGCGAACGGGUGAGUAACACGUGAGCAACCUACCUUACACAGGGGGAUAGCCGUUGGAAACGACGAUUAAUACCGCAUGAGACCACAGAAUCGCAUGAUAUAGGGGUCAAAGAUUUAUCGGUGUAAGAAGGGCUCGCGUCUGAUUAGCUAGUUGGAAGGGUAAAGGCCUACCAAGGCGACGAUCAGUAGCCGGUCUGAGAGGAUGAACGGCCACAUUGGAACGGAGACACGGUCCAAACUCCUACGGGAGGCAGCAGUGGGGAAUAGUGCACAAUGGGGGGAACCCUGAUGCAGCGACGCCGCGUGAGCGAAGAAGGUUUUCGAAUCGUAAAGCUCUGUCCUAUGAGAAGAUAAUGACGGUAUCAUAGGAGGAAGCCCAGGCGAAAUACGU
rnacentral:rRNA from 1 species